rnacentral:rRNA from 1 species
GAUGAACGCUGGCGGCGUGCCUAAUACAUGCAAGUCGAACGAACGGACGAGAAUUUUGCUGCUCUGUUGUGAGCCGCGGGCGGGGGAGUAACACGUGAAUCAUCUACCUAUAAGACUGAAAUAACUUCGAAAAACGGGAGCUUAUACCGUAUAAUAUUUUGAACCGCAGGGUGCAAAGGUGAGAGACGGUCUUUCGGUCACUUAUAGAGGGAUACCCGCUGGAUUAGCUAGUUGUUCCGGUAACAGCUUACCAAGGCAACGAGGCAUAGACGACGUGAGAGGGUGAUAGGCCGCACUGGAACGUAGACACGGUCAAGAGGCCUACGGGAGGGAGCAGUCGGGAAUCUGACGCAAAGGGCGAUAGUCUGACGGAGUAAGGCCGCGUGAGUGAUGACGGUCUUCGGAUCGUAAAAAUGUGUUAUUAGGGAAGAACAUAUGUGUCAGUAGAUGUGGACAGCUUGACGGUACCGAAUAAGAAAGCCCCGGCUAACUACGUG